rnacentral:rRNA from 1 species
UACGGAGGGUGCGAGCGUUGUCCGGAAUCAUUGGGCGUAAAGGGCGCGUAGGUGGCCCGCUCAGCGUGCGGUGAAAGCUCGGGGCUCAACCCCGAGUCGGCCGUGCGAACUGGUGGGCUGGAGCACUGUAGAGGCAGGCGGAAUUCCGGGUGUAGCGGUGGAAUGCGUAGAGAUCCGGAAGAACACCGGUGGCGAAGGCGGCCUGCUGGGCUAUGGCUGACACUGAGGCGCGACAGCGUGGGGAGCAAACAGG